AUACCAGCCCCCUGAGUGGUAAGGACGAUUAUUUGGCCUAAAGCGCCCGUAGCCGGUUUAGCAAGUCUUUUGUUAAAUCCAAUAAUUCAAUUAUUGGGCCGCAAGAGAUACUGCUAUACUAGAGGACGGGAGAGGUCUACGGUACUCCAGGGGUAGGGGUGAAAUCCUAUAAUCCUUGGAGGACCACCAGUGGCGAAGGCGGUCGACUAGAACGUGCCUGACGGUGAGGGGCGAAAGCUGGGGGAGCGAACCGGAUUAGAUACCCGAGUAGUCC
rnacentral:rRNA from 1 species